AUCUCAUGAUUGGGGCAUUUCAAAAGCUUCUCCUUAAAUCUCCCCCAUGCUUCAUACCAAGGUUCCCCAUGAAAUUGACGGAAAUUUAUGAUUUCAUCCCGCAAUUU
rfam:Capsicum annuum cultivar Zunla-1 chromosome 5, whole genome shotgun sequence